AGAAUCAACGCUGGCGGCGUGCCUAACACAUGCAAGUCGCACGAGAAAGGGGAGCAAUCCCUGAGUAAAGUGGCGCACGGGUGAGUAACACGUGAAUGAUCUACCUCCGAGUGGGGAAUAACUGAGAGAAAUCUUAGCUAAUACCGCAUAACACUUACGAGUCAAAGCAGCAAUGCGCUUGGAGAGGAGUUCGCGGCCGAUUAGUUAGUUGGCGGGGUAAUGGCCCACCAAGACUGUGAUC
rnacentral:rRNA from 1 species